rnacentral:rRNA from 1 species
CCUACGGGGGGCAGCAGUGAGGAAUAUUGGUCAAUGGACGAAAGUCUGAACCAGCCAAGUAGCGUGCAGGAUGACGGCCCUAUGGGUUGUAAACUGCUUUUAUGCGGGGAUAAAGUUAGUCACGUGUGACUAUUUGCAGGUACCGCAUGAAUAAGGACCGGCUAAUUCCGUGCCAGCAGCCGCGGUAAUACGGAAGGUCCGGGCGUUAUCCGGAUUUAUUGGGUUUAAAGGGAGCGUAGGCCGUGGAUUAAGCGUGUUGUGAAAUGUAGACGCUCAACGUCUGACUUGCAGCGCGAACUGGUUCACUUGAGUGUGCGCAACGCAGGCGGAAUUCGUGGUGUAGCGGUGAAAUGCUUAGAUAUCACGAAGAACUCCGAUUGCGAAGGCAGCUUGCGGGAGCACAACUGACGCUGAAGCUCGAAAGUGCGGGUAUCAAACAGGAUUAGAUACCCCGGUAGUC